AGCGAACGCUGGCGGCAGGCCUAAUACAUGCAAGUCGAACGCUCCAGCAAUGGAGAGUGGCAGACGGGUGAGUAACGCGUGGGAACCUUCCCAGUGGUACGGAGUAGCUCAGGGAAACUUGAGGUAAUACCGUAUACGCCCCAAGGGGGAAAGAUUUAUCGCCAUUGGAUGGGCCCGCGUCGGAUUAGCUAGUUGGUGGGGUAAUGGCCUACCAAGGCGACGAUCCGUAGCUGGUCUGAGAGGAUGAUCAGCCACACUGGGACUGAGACACGGCCCAGACUCCUACGGGAGGCAGCAGUAGGGAAUAUUGGACAAUGGGCGAAAGCCUGAUCCAGCCAUGCCGCGUGAGUGACGAAGGCCUUCGGGUUGUAAAGCUCUUUUGGCGGGGACGAUAAUGACGGUACCCGCAGAAUAAGCUCCGGCUAACUUCGUGCCAGCCGCCGCUGUAAUAC
rnacentral:rRNA from 1 species